GUUGCAUCUGGUAGCCAGUUAGCUGACAUAUUCACCAAGCCAUUGACAGGUCUUCUGCAUCACCAUUUUCUGUCCAAGCUGGGUGUUUGUUCACCCUCCAGCUUGAAGGGGGGGUGUUGGGCCUAUGCAGAAUCAGCCCAAUGCAAUUUCAGUUGGGCCAUGUCUUCAGCAGCCCAAGUAACAAUUCAUAAGGGUAGUUGAGAUAUUUAUUGGUUAUACAAUUUUGUAUAGAAGGAAAGGGCACAUAUGUAAUAUCACACACACACUAAAUUUGUAUUAGAUUAUUUGUAUAUACACGGAUGUGGACAGAUGGUUCUAGA
rnacentral:lncRNA from 1 species